CCUACGGGAGGCUGCAGUGAGGAAUAUUGGCCAAUGGCCGAGAGGCUGAACCAGCCAAGUCGCGUGAGGGAUGACGGCCCUCCGGGUUGUAAACCUCUUUUGUCGGGGCGCAAAGAGAGUCACGUAUGGCUCAUUGAGAGUACCCGAAGAAAAAGCAACGGCUAACUCCGUGCCAGCAGCCGCGGUAAUACGGGGGAUGCGAGCGUUAUCCGGAUUUAAUGGGGUAAACGGGUGCGUAGGCGGGCAUUUAAGCCGGCGGUAAAAUGUAGGGGCUCAACCCCGGCCUGCCGUCGGAACUGGGUGCCUUGAGUGGGCGAGAGGUAUGCGGAAUGCGUGGUGUAGCGGUGAAAUGCAGAGAUAUCACGCAGAACCCCGAUUGCGAAGGCAGCAUACCGGCGCCCUACUGACGCUGAGGCACGAAAGUGCGGGUAUCGAACAGGAUUAGAUACCCCUGUAGUC
rnacentral:rRNA from 1 species